CCUACGGGAGGCAGCAGUGAGGAAUAUUGGUCAAUGGACGAAAGUCUGAACCAGCCAUGCCGCGUGCAGGAUGACGGCCCUAUGAGUUGUAAACUGCUUUUGUAGGGGGGUAAAGGCAGAUACGCGUACCUGUCUGAAUGUACCGUACGAAUAAGGAACGGCUAACUCCGGGCCAGCAGCCGCGGUAAUACGGAGGAUCCGAGCGUUAUCCGGAUUUAUUGGGUUUAAAGGGUGCGUAGGCGGUCGGUUAAGUCAGUGGUGAAAGCCCGGGGCUCAACUUCGGAAUUGCCUUUGAUACUGGCAGUCUAGAGUGUAGUAGCGGUAGGCGGAAUUCAUGGUGUAGCGGUGAAAUGCUUAGAGAUCA
rnacentral:rRNA from 1 species